rnacentral:rRNA from 1 species
AUUGAACGCUGGCGGCAUGCCUAACACAUGCAAGUCGAACGAACCCUUCGGGGUGAGUGGCGCACGGGUGCGUAACACGUGGGAACCUGCCCUUAGGUUCGGAAUAACACAGAGAAAUUUGUGCUAAUACCGGAUAAUGUCUUCGGACCAAAGAUUUAUCGCCUUUGGAUGGGCCCGCGUAGGAUUAGCUAGUUGGUGAGGUAAAGGCUCACCAAGGCGACGAUCCUUAGCUGGUCUUAGAGGAUGAUCAGCCACACUGGGACUGAGACACGGCCCAGACUCCUACGGGAGGCAGCAGUGGGGAAUAUUGGACAAGGGGCGAAAGCCUGAUCCAGCAAUGCCGCGUGAGUCAUGAAGGCCUUAGGGUUGUAAAGCUCUUUUACUGGGGAUGAUAAUGACAGUACCCAGAGAAUAAGCCCCGGCUAACUCCGUGCCAGCCGCCGCGGUAA